rnacentral:rRNA from 1 species
AAUAGAUACCCGGGUAGUCCACGCCGUAAACGGUGGGCACUAGAUGUGGGGCUCUUUCCAUGAGUUCCGCGUCGCAGCUAACGCAUUAAGUGCCCCGCCUGGGGAGUACGGCCGCAAGGCUAAAACUCAAAGGAAUUGACGGGGGGCCCGCACGAAGCGGCGGAGCAUGCGGAUUAAUUCGAUGCAACGCGAAGAACCUUACCAAGGCUUGACAUAUACGGUCUAUCCCUAGAGAUAGGGAGUGCUUCGGCGCCGUAUACAGGUGGUGCAUGGUUGUCGUCAGCUCGUGUCGUGAGAUGUUGGGUUAAGUCCCGCAACGAGCGCAACCCUCGUUCUAUGUUGCCAGCACGUAAUGGUGGGGACUCAUAGGAGACUGCCGGGGUCAACUCGGAGGAAGGUGGGGAUGACGUCAAAUCAUCAUGCCCCUUAUGUCUUGGGCUUCACGCAUGCUACAAUGGCCGGUACAAAGGGCUGCAAUACCGUAAGGUGAGCGAAUCCCAAAAAGCCGGUCUCAGUUCGGA